rnacentral:rRNA from 1 species
AUGGUUGGGAAAGAAAGAGGGAGGAGAGAAAGAAAGAACGGAGACCAGAGGGGCUUAGGCGCCGAUGUGGUGAAGGGGUAUGGCGCCCCAGGCCGGGGCGUCGUGGUUCAGCCCAUGGCGCCCUGGGCCGAGGCAUCAUGGGCCCAAGGCCAUGCCGACAUGGCAGUCAGCGCCGACGCGCAUGGCGCCUUUGAUCGGGGCGUUAUGUUAUCUCGCAUGGCGCCCCGGGGGCGGGCGUCAUACGGGUAG